ACCAAGAAUCCAUGGCUGAAGGAGCUGAUGGAGGAGCCGUGCUGAAGGAGUUGAUGGAGGAGCCGUGCUGAAGGAGCUGUUGGAGGAGCUGAUGGAGGAGCCGAGCUGAUGGAGGUGUCGUGCUGAAGGCCCUGCCUGGUGGAGGCCCUGCCUGGUGAAGGAUGUCUGUCGUGGGACCAGGACUCUGUCGGAGGAGAGCUGCUGGAGGACGACUAGGAAUCGACCAACAAGGAUUCCUCAAUGUGUUUCUGGAGCGGAGGCGAGUUGGUAGGGGAGCCGCAAAUCUGGAGGACGACAUCACUCCACCAACCAGGAUCCUCGUCUAUCAUGGACAUGUAACUGCAGUUCUACGUUUGGGGCCAGGCUUGUGCUGUUUGUUCCAGACCAGGACUCUGGCUGAGGAGAGCUGAUGGAGGAGCCAAGACUCUGGAGGACGACAUCACUCUGCCAACUUGUUGGAACGCAGGAUUAGUUUGUCCAGUAAAAGACCAUGAAUCUGGAGGACUGAUGGAGAAGCCGUACAUCUAGAAGGCAAAUCCUGAGGACAACCAGAACUCUACCAUCAAGGAUUCCUCACACACCUGAACUGAACCUCACCUGAUCCUGUUUGGUCGGGGAUAGAAUCACCUGAGCUGAACCCUACCUGAUCCUGUUUGGUCGGGGGUAGAACCACCUGAGCUGAACCCGCCCUGAUCCUGACAUCCUGCUGGUCCUGUCUCCUCAGUUCAUCUGCGCCUCGUCCUCCAGAUGACCUGCUGAGCUCAGCGGUCUAAGGCUGAUGGAUCACUGACCUCCAGUGGGAGUGGUCUUCUUGACCCCACGUGUAACCGUGUGCUUCCACACGCCUUUCCCUCACGUCUGUCACUAACCUCACUACUCUCUACUGCUUCCUCUUCUUCUUCCUUCUCUGUGGUUCGAACCUUUACACUGAAGGCGCGUCUUCCUGCCCUCAGAGGGUUCAGCGUUAGGGUUGAGAGUCAGG
ensembl:lncRNA